GCCCCCAUAGCUCAAUGGAUAGAGCAAUCCCGUCCUAAGGGAGAGAUGGAGGUUCAAUUCCUUUUGGGGGCACAA
rnacentral:tRNA from 1 species